rnacentral:rRNA from 1 species
UGGGGAAUCUUAGACAAUGGGCGCAAGCCUGAUCUAGCCAUGCCGCGUGAGUGAUGAAGGCCUUAGGGUCGUAAAGCUCUUUCGCUAGGGAAGAUAAUGACGGUACCUAGUAAAGAAGUCCCGGCUAACUCC